rnacentral:ncRNA from 1 species
CAUGGCUGUCGUCAGCUCGUGCCGUAAGGUGUUGGGUUAAGUCCCGCAACGAGCGCAACCCUCGUGUUUAGUUGCCAACGUUGAGUUUGGAACCCUUUUUUCCAUUUUUUUUUCAAUCUAUAAAUUGUUAAUGAAUACGCGGCAGAACCACUUCAUUUUUCAAU